GCCUGGGUGGCUCAGUCAGUUGGGUGUCUGACUUCAGCUUGGGUCAUGAUCUCACAGUCCGUGGGUUCGAACCCCACAUCAGGCU
rnacentral:tRNA from 1 species